UUGUGCCUAGAGUAGAAAAGAUUAUUAUUAUUAUUGAGGAGAGCUGGCAGAAUCAUUAGCAUGCUAAGCAAAUUACUUAGUGGCAUUCCAUCCAUCAUUACAUUCCAAGUUCAAAUUCUGCUGACACCAAAUUUGCCUUUUAUGCUUUAGGAGUUAAUAUAA